CUAAAUUAUUAUUUAAUAAUCUUUCGGGUCAGUGGGAUUUCGAAUAUAUUUUAUUUAUGUUAUUAUGUGAGUAAUAAAAAUUAUGUGCGAGUUGUGAGAAAUUUGUGUGAUUAUGUGAAUAAUUGUUGGAUGCAUUUUAUCUGUUCGUGCAUCCUUUGAUUUAAAUUAGUUCAUAUAGUCGAUCGUGAUUUAUGACAUCAUGAUUUGAUUAUUUUAGAUAUUCUAAAUAUCUUAUUUUAUUUGAAAGCUUUGGAAUUUAGAUUAAUUUUAUUAAAGUAAGAAUAUUUUCGGGUCCGUACAUUUUAUUUAGAUGAUCACUAGCUUUUUAUUUCAAGAUUGGGAUCCAAAACUUUUAUUAUAUAAAUAUAUCAUAUCUAAAAUUAUUUUAUUAUUAAAAAGAAAAUAGAAGUAGUACAAUUGUACUACACGGGUAGUACAAGCAGGAAAAAAAAGAAGAGAGAAAAGCAAAACACAUACGCACAAAAACAGAGUAGUAGUCGGUGACUUUGAAAAUUGGGGGUUAGGGGUUGAGUGUCCACGGAAACUUAUAAUCCCAACAUAUAAUUGGGUAUAAACUUUUGUUUUCUUGCUUGAUUUUUGAGUUUUGGCGCAUGUAUAUCUAUAUGUUGUAUUGGGUUCGUGUAUAUAUGUGUGGUUGUACUUGAUUGUGGUGGUGGUUGGAAGUCGUGGGCGUCAGCGGAUGGGUGGUGGCAGGGUUGUGUCACAGCCGCCACGAGAAGAGAAAGGGAGUUGAGGCGAGGCACCGGAGGUUGGACGGCGCUACACGGCCGUGAAAGCAGCGGCGUCGCAAUCGGAAUGUUGAUGAUAGGCUAUGGGAAGGUGGCUCCAUUUUCCCGAUGAACACUUCACCAUCACCCCUGCAUCUCUUGUUCCGAAUCAAUGGCUAGAUACAAAGAUGGUUCGCUUGUUUGGGUUGCGCUUAAGAAUAACGCUAGGCAAGGAUUUCAAGUGAGUAUGUCAGACCUCGAUGGUCAGGAUAAGUAUUUUGGAAGAUGUCAAGGGAACUAGCUGUGAUUAAGAUGGUAUAAUUUUGAUUCAGAUGUAAAGCAGAUUUAAGUUUUGGUUAUCAGUUAUUCUUCUUGUCGAAGUUUAUCUGGUAAUGUAGAAUAUGUUGUAUUAGAUUUAUAUUUUCGAUUUUCUGAUUUCAAUACUAUAGCCUGUAUGCGAUCCUGUUUUCAGGGGGUGAAAUUGAAUUUUACUUUAAAUCAUUUUAAAAAUAUCUAGGUUUCAAAAUAAUUGUUUUUAGCUUCUUUCAAAAAUACAGGUUUUAAAUUGUUUUUCUUUUAGUGGCACCAAAUCCAGACCCCCGGAUUUGAGGGAUGUCACAGUUGGUAUCAGAGCUACAGGUUAUAAGGUAUUGAAAUCAGAAUGUAGGUGGGAGCAACGUGGUUAAUAAGAGAGAUGUGCCAAGUGAAACCUCUUGUAGAGGUAAGUUAAGACUAUUGGGUAUAGUCUCUGUUAAUAGAAUUGAGAUUGAGUUAGAAUAUUGAAAUCGAGUAUUCAUUUGGUAUAUCAUAGUUCCUAAUUUUAGAAUUAAUGAGUUUGGUUCUCAUGAGAAACAUGAUAGACCACAUUUGGUUCGGAAUCGUUAUUUAGAGGUUUUAUGAUUAGAGCUAGUUGAUGUCAGACCAAUGGUUAUUUUCACACUCUCUAGAGUAUUCCUUGCUACGGAGAGAGUUGUUUGGAGAAUUGCCGAUUGCCCCUUGUGAAUUGAAUAUAGAGUUUGUACCUGAUUAUGAAAGCUGCAGGGUCAAAGUAAGAGCCCCCGCAUAUAGUUAAGUAAUGAAUGCUAAAGUUUAUCUAGAACACGUGUAGAUUAGUGGAUAUACUGAUAUAGUACUCAUGAGUAAAUUAAGACGUCAACACUUAGUUGUGAUGGUUGUACGAAACUCGAUAAGAUUUUGGACUGUGCGAAGCUGAGCAGGACUCCUGAUGAUCCUGGAUAUUUAUAUAUCAAUCUUCAAAGACCCUGCGAGUUGAUGAUAAAGUACAAUAUUAAGCAUUAUCGAAUACUGAGAAGAAAGGACUAUAAUCGAAUAGAGGUCCAUUAGAAGAAUAGAUCGAGAAAAUACAUGUGAGACUCUUGGUAAUACCUUCCUCUUUUGUCGAUUAUAUUGAUUCAUUUCCUUCAAGUGAUUUGUUUUUACCUUUAUUUCGUGAAGAUGUUUGAUAAAGAAUAUUGUUCCCUCUCUCUUGGUCUGUAAAGUGAUGUUUGUGCUUAUUGAAUCAUUAUUGACCAUUCUUUUUAGCGAAACUAGGACAUUUGGAAUCUAUUUGAUUUUGAAUCCAAAGUCUGCGUCUGAGGUCCAUUCAUCAAAAGAUAAUCAUUGUCAACUCGAUUUUGAACUACUUUUGGUAUUUCCUUAUUCCAACUGAGAUGAACAACCCGAGUUGUGGGGGACACAAGAACUACCUGUCUGUGUGAUAGGAGUUGGAUGGGACGCCAUCACUUGUGUGUGUUGUACAUACAAGAAGGUUAACUACCUUUAGUAGUGUCUGAAUAAAGACACGCAACACCGAGUUCUUUAGAUCAUAUUGAUCUCUCAGUUAUUUCCUUAUUCAAUGACAUAACACUUGCUUCAAUACAUGAAAUCUGUCAUGUUUCAAUAUUCAAGAUUCUUGUAAUCUCUAGUAGUCUGAAGGUAUGCCAACUGAGUUGCCAACAUGGGUUAAGCCUUCGUAGGAGGGGGUACCAAGAGCAAAAGCAGAUGAUGAUGCGGGUAUACGAAAUCGAUUAAGAGGAUUCCAUAUAAAAAAAAAGAAUAUUACGGUUUAAAGCGAUCGUACACUUUAGUUUUCUCUUCGUUGAUUCCGAGGACGGAAUCCUUUUAAGGGGGGUAGAUUGUGACAACCCAUAUUUUUAUAAAUUAUUUUAUUUUAAUAUUCAUGAUUUUUUUGGAAAAGAAAGAAUAAAAUAUCAUAUUUUAUUUCCGUUUGAUGAGUUCUAAAUUAUUAUUUAAUAAUCUUUCGGGUCAGUGGGAUUUCGAAUAUAUUUUAUUUAUGUUAUUAUGUGAGUAAUAAAAAUUAUGUGCGAGUUGUGAGAAAUUUGUGUGAUUAUGUGAAUAAUUGUUGGAUGCAUUUUAUCUGUUCGUGCAUCCUUUGAUUUAAAUUAGUUCAUAUAGUCGAUCGUGAUUUAUGACAUCAUGAUUUGAUUAUUUUAGAUAUUCUAAAUAUCUUAUUUUAUUUGAAAGCUUUGGAAUUUAGAUUAAUUUUAUUAAAGUAAGAAUAUUUUCGGGUCCGUACAUUUUAUUUAGAUGAUCACUAGCUUUUUAUUUCAAGAUUGGGAUCCAAAACUUUUAUUAUAUAAAUAUAUCAUAUCUAAAAUUAUUUUAUUAUUAAAAAGAAAAUAGAAGUAGUACAAUUGUACUACCCGGGUAGUACAAGCAGGAAAAAAAAGAAGAGAGAAAAGCAAAACACAUACGCACAAAAACAGAGUAGUAGUCGGUGACUUUGAAAAUUGGGGGUUAGGGGUUGAGUGUCCACGGAAACUUAUAAUCCCAACAUAUAAUUGGGUAUAAACUUUUGUUUUCUUGCUUGAUUUUUGAGUUUUGGCGCAUGUAUAUCUAUAUGUUGUAUUGGGUUCGUGUAUAUAUGUGUGGUUGUACUUGAUUGUGGUGGUGGUUGGAAGUCGUGGGCGUCAGCGGAUGGGUGGUGGCAGGGUUGUGUCACAGCCGCCACGAGAAGAGAAAGGGAGUUGAGGCGAGGCACCGGAGGUUGGACGGCGCUACACGGCCGUGAAAGCAGCGGCGUCGCAAUCGGAAUGUUGAUGAUAGGCUAUGGGAAGGUGGCUCCAUUUUCCCGAUGAACACUUCACCAUCACCCCUGCAUCUCUUGUUCCGAAUCAAUGGCUAGAUACAAAGAUGGUUCGCUUGUUUGGGUUGCGCUUAAGAAUAACGCUAGGCAAGGAUUUCAAGUGAGUAUGUCAGACCUCGAUGGUCAGGAUAAGUAUUUUGGAAGAUGUCAAGGGAACUAGCUGUGAUUAAGAUGGUAUAAUUUUGAUUCAGAUGUAAAGCAGAUUUAAGUUUUGGUUAUCAGUUAUUCUUCUUGUCGAAGUUUAUCUGGUAAUGUAGAAUAUGUUGUAUUAGAUUUAUAUUUUCGAUUUUCUGAUUUCAAUACUAUAGCCUGUAUGCGAUCCUGUUUUCAGGGGGUGAAAUUGAAUUUUACUUUAAAUCAUUUUAAAAAUAUCUAGGUUUCAAAAUAAUUGUUUUUAGCUUCUUUCAAAAAUACAGGUUUUAAAUUGUUUUUCUUUUAGUGGCACCAAAUCCAGACCCCCGGAUUUGAGGGAUGUCACAAUGGAAAUAGGCUUGAUUGUAUUUUUAGAGAAUCCAUUAAUACUCGGAAGAGGUUAUUGGUAUUUUAUAGGGCACAUCUUUCCUCUUGAGUAAUAUAUUUGAUAGAUCACUACUAGAAAAAGUAGAAUAGACAUCAGGGUAUAGACAUCGGUCGACUUUGGCCACGAUGUAAAAGCGUUUAUUAACAUCGGCUAAAAAGUAACCGAUGUCUAUUACUUUUUUGACAUCAGUUAAUAUAGGAACCGAUGUCUAUCCUCUUUGAAUGAAAAAUGAAAACCGCGUGGCAACUCCUCUUUUGUCCGUCCCCCAAAUAUUUCCCGUACUUAGUCAAAAUUUCGUCCCCCCAAUCUUUUAACCCCAAAAUCAAACAAAAUAACAGACUCACUCACUAUUGAGACAAAACAUUUCAAAUUAAAUCACACUCUCUUUUCUCUCUCCCCGACUCUCUCUCUCUCGUUUCUCAGACUCUUUCUCUCUCAAUCGAACCGCACCUCGGAAUCUUAGCUUUGCACCCUAAUCGAAGUGUUGAAGCCAUAAUCAAAGCUGCUUGAGCUCUCACAGACCUAAUCGAAGCUUCUCAAGCCAACACGAUUACUGUUACUACAUUUUCCUUUUCUAGGGUUUCAUAACCCAACACAAAGUCUGGCUCCGAGAGUGAUUCCGAUGAUUUUGGUCUCCGACAAGACAUGGAAGCUCUUCUUAGAGCUUGUAUGUCACUGGUGUGGCUCUAAUUUCUAAUUACAAUUCAGAUUUGGGCGGAGAAGAUAGAGACUUGUAUAGGAAAUGAGUGCAGAAAUAGUGAACCCAAAGGCAUACCCAUUAGCUGAUUCACUGAUAACCGUCACAAUUUUUGACCUUGUUCAGGAAGCUGCUAAUUACAAGCAACUUAAGAAGGGUGCUAAUGAAAACACUGAACAGAGGAAUUUCAGAGUUUUUGGUGAUGGCUGCUGAUACUGAGCCUCUCGAGAUUCAUCUCCAUCUCCCCCUUCUUGCUGAAGACAAGGAUGUUAUGCCUCUGGAUUAUAUGCCUCUCCAGGCUUGAUGAGGAUGAGCUUUGUAGAUUUUAUGCUGUAUCGAAUGGUUGGUCGCUAUUUUUAAUUGAUUAACUAGAAGGGGGAGCUUUAUAACUAUUCAGGUUGUGGGAAUACCAUAAAUUGCAACCAUCCUAUUGUGCGACAAUUAUAUUAUAUCGUCUCUGCAAAAACCAUAGACUGCCAGAAAGUAUCUCAAGAAGCAUGCAGCCAUGCAGCUCAAAACGAACGAUUGCCAGUACAGACAGCAAUCUGUGUGAAAGAUGAAAUGAAUGAAAGCAUAAAGGAUGGUUUACAGAAAUCGGCCUCUAUUAUAGAUCGAUAAAGGAAACUUCCAGUAAAUAGUUUAGUUGAUUUGGUUUGUGGUUGAUGCCUCUGCUUUGGAAAAGAAAAGGGUGGAUGAAGUGUUUUGUGGAUGAAUAUUAGUUGACUAAGAUUUUUGCCGAAGGAUGUCUAGAUUAUUGUAGUUUGGAGUUUUUGGAUAACUUUAGAUUUUGGUAUAUUGCCGAAGGAGGGCUAGAUUAUUGUAGUUUGUAGUUUUUGGAUAACUUUAGAUUUUGGUAUAUUGCCGAUGGAUGGCUAGAUUGGUUAUGUUUGAAUGUUGGAUGUAUAUAUUGAAUGUUAUAUUGCGAUUUCUAUGAAUGAA